GCCGCCUUAGCUCAGCAGGUAGAGCACUUGACUUGUAAUCAUGAGGUCUCCGGUUCGAUUCCGGGAGGCGGCUC
rnacentral:tRNA from 1 species